UUUCCGUAGGUGAACCUGCGGAAGGAUCAUACAUAAUAAAGUGUUUUAUGGCACUUUUUAAAAAUCCAUAUCCACCUUGUGUGCAAUGUUAGAUCUCGUCAAUCUUGGCGAGAUUUUUAUACAUCAACUCAUUCUUUAACUAAUUUGUCUGAAAAAUAUUAUGAAUACUUAAUUCAAAAUACAACUUUCAACAACGGAUCUCUUGGCUCUC
rnacentral:misc_RNA from 1 species